GCGCUGGUAGUUUAGCGGCCAGAAUGAGACGUUGCCAACGUUUCGACCCGGGUUCGAUUCCCGGCCAGCGCA
rnacentral:tRNA from 1 species